CUUCGGGCGUGCCUUGCCAGCCUCUAUAUCGGUAUUACUUUUCAUAAUUCAUAACUCUAUUAGUAUUUUGGAAAGUGAUUGUUCCUUUGUGGCCUCUUUUCUUACAAAUGAUACACUUGACAAGUCCAACCUCACUGUCCUGAAAAGGGAAGCCAUUGCCUUGAUUGGACUUCUUGAAGACUUUAAGCUUUCUAAAAUCAACCGUUGCCCAAAUUCGGGGGCGCAUGACAUUGCAAAUUUAGUUUUGACAAUAGGCCGGACAGUGUUCUUCUUGAUUCGUUUCCAUCUUGCGCGGCGUAUGUUGCAUGAAUUAUUGUAAUACCUUGUUUAAUUGAGUAAUAUAUGGGGUGGUGUUUUCAAAAAAUAUCUAAUACACUCUACAUAGGAUAAUGGAGUGUGUAGGGGUAAUAAUUUUGGUUUUAUGCGUCUUUGUUGGUACAAAGACUAGGAGUAACAAAUCUUUCCUCCCUCUUCAGACAAAUACAACGUAAUUUUGACCAAAGAAUGGAAGUGACAUUAAAUAGAAUAAUUAUUAUGCGUAAAAAGGAAACAAAAUUUAGAUGAAUAAGGGGUGUAUGUGGCCAAGUAGACACUGACGUGAAAUUGAAAUAGCAGGUUUCUUUGUGGUGUGAAGUUAGAUGUGGCACGUAAUUUUAACAUUUCUUUGUGGUGUGAAGUUAGAUGUAUUAUGAAAUCCAAAAAAAAUAAAAUUACACCCUGAAGUGAAAUGAAAAAUAACAGGUUUCCGAAAAAGGAAGUGAAAAGUAGCGUGCUGCCUCACGCAAAUAGUCUUGCUAAAUUUCAGUCAACUGAGAUUUGGUUUUGUCUUAGUCGAUGUCAUAUUUGUGAGAUCUUAUAUUUAGAUCCGUGCAUAUUUUUUUUGUUACAUGUUAUGUCUUGGUUAACUAAGCCAAAACAGUGUUCUCUCGAGAGAGAGAAAAAAGAACAGUUUUACUAAAAAACAGGCGUCUGUUUUCAUUUUGGCUUCAAGUCGAAUUUUCUGUCGUUCGAUUCAGUUCUGAGAUCUGCGCUGGUGUGGCUGAACUUUUUGGGCCCGCUUUGUCUUAGUGGGUCUCAGUGGAUCCUUUUGGGUUAUUUUCGCGCCCGCUGUUUUCCAGGGUCGCGUGGAGGAUCUGGUCUGUCCUCCUCAAUCCUUAUCCAUGGCGACGACGGUGGGCUCGAGGCGACGACGGAGAGGUCUCGGCGACGGCGGCGCAGGUUGAUUGGAAUUCAGUUUUGCAAGUCUCUACAGCAGUCAAUUAAAAUUGAGGCAAAACCAAUGCUUUUGUGAUGAUUUCGUUGUGUCUAGAUGGAACUGAAAUGCUACCAUGUGCUCAAUUUUAUUUAAUGUGAAAGUCAUGCAAUCAUGUCAAGAUAAUAUACUACAUAUAUUAGUUACUAGGUGUUUGUUUCGAUUCAUGGUGUCCAUGAAUGUUGUAGUCUUGUUUUACAUUCUGUACAUAUGAAAAUCUGCAGCAAUUUGGUACAAGCAGUACCCUGAAUCACAUAUCUGAGGUGUUCCAUCUUAUUCUAUUGUCUCUAUAUAUUUCCCAUGUUUUUUUGUUAUCACGCAAGUCCCUGUUUCUUGGUCAUCAAGCUUGUUGCUUCCCUCGACCAUUUUUUUUCAAAAGUCAGAAGGUUUCAUUGCAGCUUUAUAUAGCUUAAAUUGUAGUCUUAUGCACCCCAUCUUUUUAUUUGGUCUCUAGUGUUUUGCUAAACAUAUACAUUCCCCCUUAACCAAUUCAUACAAGCAUUUCUCUGUGAAUGUAUUGAUACUUAUGUAAUAGUGGUAAUCCGUCGAAUUUUCUUCAAUGAGUAGUCUCAACUGCUUGAGGUGGUCACGUUUCCGUUUUUUGGGUGGGUUCCUGGUCAGUUGAGCUCUGGCCCAUUCUCAUAUGCUAAUCUUGUGUAGGAAGAUUGCCAGUGUUGCACGAGCAUGGAAUUGUGGAUGUCGUUAUGCACUAUUCUAAGGUGUCGGCUAGCUGGCUAGAGGCGUGUGUGGUCACGGCCUAGUGGCUUUUGUUCAUUUUCUUCACUCUAGUGUCUUUUUUGUCCAUUUCUCCCUAAGUCUCUUGGUCUGGUCUCUUAUGUUGUUGCCAAUCAUUUUCUCUAUAUAUUCAUUCUAAGAUGAACAACUGACUUCUUAUUAUUCUUCUUAGAAAUCAGUUUGUAGUGUCCUACUUAAGUGUCUACCUUUUAAAUUUCAAGCCCAAAACUUAAAACUGGCUAUCCUUUUCGGUAAAUAUUUUUGUUGUUCACUCUUUUUUCUUUAGUUUUCAUUUUUCGUAUAUAAAUAGGAGUGUCCUACUUAAGUGGCUCAAGAUAGGCAUGGUUGUUACUGAAUCCUCAUUCUCAUCCUUCAGUCUCGCCGCCUCUAUUUUUUUAGUCUGCACUUUGUUUGUCACUCUGUAAGCUUGCUAUUUUAAUCAUUUAUCUGUUGUCUUGUCAUUCGUCAUUGAUAUGCCUUGCCAUCUUGUCAGUUAUAGAGGACGGCAAAGUCUUCGCUUAAUUUUCCUCCCCAUUCAUCAUUUCUACUUUUUCAUUUCUUCAGUAUUUUAUCUCUUUUUUAGUCUGAGUUAGUGUAUCUUUUUCAGCUAAAAAUGAUAGUAAAUUAGUCUUUCAUUUGUCCCACUUAUUUUCAGUACUUAUUCCUAAGUAUUCAUGGUUCAUUAUUUUUGUUCCUCAGUUUGUAAGCUUGCCAUAUUAGUUUUUCUAAUAGUAUUUGUCCUCAUUUUAUCAUAUUUAGUUAUCAUUUGCAUCUUUCUUCAGUCCUAUCUCUCAUGAGUCUUGUCUUUUAGUAGAUGUUAUUUCUGUUUUGAACCUUAUGUUCAUGUAAGUCCUAAGUUUUUAGAUUUUUGCACAAUUUUUUUCCUAGAUUAUUUUCAGUUUUUAGUCAUCAGUACUCCUAAGUAUCAGUUUUAGUUCUCUUCAACUAUACGUCAAGUGAUUAGUUAUUUGGUUAGUGUUUGCUCAGUAUCUUAAGUGUCUCAUUUAGUUCUCUUCAGUUAUUUGGUCAGUGUUUGUUCUUGUCUAUCAGUUUUAAGUUAAGUCAUUUAUUAUUCUAACUAGUUUAAUUUCCAUUCAGCUUAUUAUUUUUAGUUUACUUUGCUAUUCCUGUAUUUUCAGCAUUCAUUUUAAAUUUGUUAGACUUGAUAUGUGUUUAUAAUUCCUAUAGUUUAAAUUAGUUAUCUGGUGAGUCUCUGUUCUUAGUUUUUCAGUCAUCUUUUUGCUAACAAAUAGUUUUUUCUCUGCCCCAUAUGUAAUGGGGAUGGCGUACCCAAUCUGCAAGACCGACUGCGCUGGCCGUCGCUCAUCGCGUUUAAAUUUUGGGGUUUGGUUGUCUGAGGACUUUGAAAGCUUUGUGAUAACUUAGUUUUGAAUAUGUUCAAUUUAUCACUAUAGUUCUGUUUCAAAAAAAAUCACUAUAAUCUGGUUCACUGUCAUGGUCAGUUAUUAAUUUAUCACUACAGUCUAGUUCUUGUUAUGGUUAUUUUUUCAUUCAUCACUCAUUUUUACAAGGCCAUGAUGUGGAUAUUACCAACACCUCCCUGUAUGUUUUAUGAUAGCAUGAUAGUUGCCCUGUUCAGUUAAACAUUUCAUUUCUUCUUUAUUUUGUCUAUGAAUUUAGUUUUUUCCUGUUUCAGAUACAAACUUAGUCCUUUUAGCUGAUAGAAUUAUAUCAACUUUAGCUUUUUCUUAGAUUUCUUUUUCUCAUUUAGUCAUUACUUGUUGCAUUCAUUUCCUUUUUUAGUCCAUCAUUUUUUAGAGUUUAGCUAUUUGUCAGUCUCAUCUGCAAACAUCUCAUUCCCCGGCAAGCAUGAGGAUAGCCUAUAUUUUGCCCUUCCUUUUUCCAUUUCUUUUUGCUAUCUUCUGCAGUUUAUCCCAUGCCACUCAAGGGUCGAAUUCAAUUGCGCCACUGACGACCGCAUGCUUUUUGAGGAAUGUGAAGGGCGCAAAUUCCUCAUCGAGAUCAGGAAAUAACAUUGGGGAACCCGCAUCUAUGGCGUUGGGUGGGAGGACUUCAUCAGGUUGAAUAAUCUCAGUGAGGGAGUUUUGGUCUGUUUUGUACUGGAUGGACUAGUGCCAAAGUUGAAGAUUUCCAUGGUUGCGCUACCUCCCAACCAGGUUGAUCUAGCGCUUGAGGCUGCUGUUUUCACGAAAGACAUCAAGAUAAAGGCAAGAUAGAGUGCAAAGAUGUAUGAAACUCUACUAUAUUGACCAACAGAUACAUGGUGUGCCAUUUGUGCAACUUUUUUUGUUGAUAUCAUCAGUUUUCUGGUUCAUUA